CAAAGGCAUCUCAUGACUCCUUAUGGCAGUUCUUUCUCUACGGGAUUAAUUGAGUUUCACACAACCCACAGGAUAACAGCAUUUGCUAAAAGUAAAUUUAUAGAUAGCAUGAUUAUUAUAUUUCUGUAUUUGUAAAAAGCAGGGACAGACUCUCAUUUUGGUCAAGCCCAUUUAAAAUCAUAAAAAUUCUUCUGACAUCAAAGGAACCACCUUCAUGUCAAACUGCUGGAAGCUAAUAAAGAAUUUGGCCAGGCUAUUUCCUAUUGUAUGAGAAACAUGCUAUUUGUGAUUAAGCUUGUAAAAAAGAAGCAGUCACAACCCCUUUUCUACUGCGCAUUGAGUAAUCAGACUCACCCUUGCCACAUCUAAGCCCCCGCUAGGGCACACUAGGACAUGACUAACAUCUAUUAUAUUUUUGUUUAUUCCUCUCCUUCCCAGUCAAUAAUGACAUGCAGUGACCGAUGGUGUAUUUAGAAUACACCUUAUAUACUUACACUACUAGUCAAGGUAAGGUCAAAGAUGUGCAGACAGAGGUGGUGAGGUUUGUUGUAACUAUUCAUUCCCGUGGGAAUUUAUUUCCCACUUUGGGUCAACUGAGGGAACUCUGUCUCUUGCACUGACACACUUACAAGUCUUUUACCGAAGCAGCUGCUCUGGCUGGGAAAAAUUUAAUGUGGCAGUUUUAUGUGUGCUUUCCUCUCAGGAUGCUACCAGUGGGCUCACUUUGCCCCCUCAACACAAAAUGAGGUCUUGCGUAAUUUUGCACUUCCCACUAUUAAAGUAAACUUAAACCUUUAAAGUUAUAUCAAGGGAAUGUCUUUAAUACUGCACCAUACUGAAAGCAGCCCCUCUGAAGCACUGUGGUUUUUUACCUCAUUAAGAGAGAUUAUAUUCUCAGAAAGCACCACUUGGAUUUACAAUUACAAUUACAAUUUACAACAAUUAUAAUUGUUGUAAAAUAACCAUCCAAAGGCAUUAAAUGCAGAUGAACUUAAGAAUAUUUUGUGUUGGGAAAGCAGGGGGAAAGAAAGCAAACAAUGCAGAAAAACUAAAUAUGUAGGGCAAACUCAUUGCAAUGGAAGAAACACAUUGAAAAAUAAAGUACAUAAAAAUAGAAGAACAUUCUACAUUUGAAAAGCACAUCAAUUGUAAUAAAAGCUCAUAAAAGGUAGAAUAUAAUUACAAGGUACAGAAUUUGAACACAAGAGGUGCUUGGAUGGUUAAUGUGCUGGCUUUGCUCACUGCUAGUGUUAUUUCAAAGUGGUGUUGAACAGGGCUACAGUCAAGCCUAGGAGGAACAUUACAAACUCUUAGAGUACUAUUGGUGACGCAGAACAUUAUUUGCCAGAAGUCUGGUCCCAGGGUCUGAUUUUAAAAAGAGCAUUUGCAUAUCUGUGAGCAUGCUUAAUUUUUUUAGCAACACAUUGCCUUUAAACUGGAUUAAUUAUUGCAGUGUUUUACAUUAAAAACUUGUGAUCUGAUUCUGCAAUUAAAAAAAUGGUAUGUUGUUGCUUUAGGUACAGCAGAUUCCUUUCAUUUUCUUCUACAAUGAAACAUUUCAGUACAAUGGGUUCUGAAAACAAUUUUUAAUGCUGACCCCUCUGCAUUCUAGUUUCAUUUGUGGAGGUACACAAGCAGCCAUAGUAACAGCCUCAAACAUAACUUUCAAAACACACUGCCUUUGUACUUCAAAAGAGAUACAUCCCCAUUUCUUUCUUAUAUGUCUUUUUUCAAGCCUUUUAUUCUUCACAAAGAAAUACAGAUCUGACCUGACAAAACCACUUUUCAUGACAGAGUAAUCAAAAUUAUCCUGCCUGAGUAAAUCUGAGAGCUCUUUUCCUGGUAGUGCUACCUGGGAGCAGAAAGGCAUAGAUUUUGUUUGUGUCUCUUGGAAAAAUGUGGACUAGUUUGUGAAAGAGGAUAAUUAUAUUUAGACGUAGAGUCUUUAUCAGUCCUCUGACCUUAAAGAGACAGAUAGCUCUUAUCUGAGAUGGAAACCCAUUGAAUUAAUUGAAUGUACAUAAGGGCUUUGAGGACCAUAAUUGUAAUGGGGACCUAGAUGCUCUCCUGCUUCACUCAAAACAUCCCCACACUUGCUACCCCAGAAGACAACAUACUCCCUGGGUUUUGACACCCUUCAGGUGUCCAUACUGCUUGAAGGGUCAGUGCUGGUAAGUAUGCUGUGAACUUAUUUCCCAGAGUACUUCCAGAAAGAAAGAAAAGCUGGCAUAGCUUCCUCUUUUUUACUUAUUCCUCUAGGAUGAAAAACAUGCUCUGUGAUGCAGAGGGUUCACUCUCACCUACAGUAUUGCAUUCCUGUUACUAGAAAAGGCUAUAAAAAACAGUUCUUUAAAACUGCCUCUUUCCAUCAGGCCACAGCUAAAGAAAGUGGAAUUCAGCACAAGAGGGGCAGACAGGUAUUUCUGGUGGAAUGUAAGUCCUAUAGGUCUUUAUACUAAAAGAAACAAACUCAAACCAACCAGGUAAAAUGCCCCUUACCCAGGAAAGCAAAUCACAUUUCUUUGCAGUACCUAGUCAGAAUUUGUGUUGUGCCCUUAUCCUCUCAUCCUGGUCUUCUGUUUGUCCAGAUGAUGCUCAGGUCACCCAAACCUGUCUGGAGUGAAAUACCUGUGUUUUCUUUGUGUCGAAAUGAAGGAUGGGAAGAAAAAGCAAUCAAGUUUCAGCAAGGCAGAGGCACACACUUGAGAGGGAAGAGAAGUUCCCGGAGCUGGACUCACGCAGUCUGAUGAGAGUCUCUGUGCCACACAAAACGCUGCUGGAACCUUCUCUGCACAAACCAGACGACAACUCCAUGGUAAUGGGGAAAGCAGUCAAGCUGAUCAGUAGAACUCAGGUCAACUCAUUUAACAAUGUUGGCUUUAAAUCCUGUAUUUUUAAACCUGUUAUGUAUUUAAAAAGGCUCUAUGAAGACAAGUCUGAAAGAUAAUGCCUUGGAAAAGGGGGCAAUAGUUCCAGAGAUUUUGAGAGACAUGAGUUUAAGUCUGGAAUUUAUACACAUCCCUGGUAUUUUCCCAUCUCAAUGGCACAGUAAAACUGCUUAAAUAAAACAGAGUGGGGGAAAUCAGUCACACCAGAUGAUUCAUGUACGCUUCUCCCUCCACUCAAGUCAUAUUUUAAACAACAUCUCAUUGAAGUUUAUAAUAAAAUGCUUAUAUAUUUUUCUUUAUGGUAUUGGUAAGCAAUGGUCCCUUUGUCUACAGUCUGUCUCAUAAAUAUAAAGUUAACUGUUAUUUCAAGUUCUAUUAGAUCUAGGUAUAGGAGACCUUUGUUAACCUAAGUAGUUUAAAAUUCUCGUAGUUACAGCUAAUUUUCUUAGAACUCUGCAGUUAAAUUUACCUUGGCAAGUUCAUAGAUUGCUCUUUGCUAGGAGAAAACUUGUAUGGAAAAAGACGUUUCAUAUCCACAUAGCUGAUGAAUAUAUCUGAUAAAGCAAUUUAAUAAUAUGUUAUAUUUAAAAUAUGUAUAUUUUUACUCUGUGAGUGACAGUAAAGUUUAGGUAGUUUUCACAACAAGUCUCCUUAGGAAACUGGAACUGCAGAAUCAAAAUGUUUUUGCUGUCAUUUGUUCUGUAUUAUUUUCUUCUCUGAAAAUAACCUGGAUACCAAAAUGUAACUGCCUUGGUCUUUGUUCUGUUUUGAAUGUUCCAGUUUAAAAUCUAUCACACCACAAUCUCUGUGCUUUUUAUUUGGGAAGACUGAUUUUCUCAACCGUUUUUAUAUUUUGUUAGAAUCAUGUAGAACUCCAUGACUGCGGAAAUUGCGUUAUUGUAGAAAUUCAAAGGAUACAUAUGAGAUACUUCAACUAACACUCCACAUACACAUACAGAAAACAGAAAAAAUAAAGGAGUAUCAAUUAAAUCUGUGCCAGGCCCCAGGUGAGAGCUAGGAGCAAUCAUACCAUAAUUUUCUAUAUGUAGAUUUUAUUUUUAUUCUGGUCUUACAAUAAAAUGGAAGGAUCAAUAGAAGAAUUUCCCAGAGGACUUUACACUGUAAAAGACAGUUAGAAACAUGUGGACCUAGUAGACCUUCUGAAUCUCUAGUGUUUAAAUGGUUUAUUUACAGCUGAAGCGCACAUUGGAAGCAGACCUGAUUAAAAAAUGGGAUCUGAAAACAGUUGUAAACUUGUAACAUGAUGAGAAACCUCAUUUGGAGACAGCCUUAACCAGAUAGUACACAGGACAUAGGGCACAGAUGUGAUGAGCCCACCUCGUUGGGUACUUGGAACGUCUGUUGUACAUUUGAGCCCGGCAAGCUCAACUUACUAAGACACAGCACACCAACCAGUGAUCCACAGGGUGGUUGCAUUUUGUGCUUUCCAUAGCCCUGGCAGCCACCACCAAGACUUGUGUGAUGACCACCUCUGUGAUUUCUGAGUGUCAACCAUUAUUUUGAGUGGUGCAUCAAGUACUCAUCUUGAACAAAUGUAUUUCAUCUAGCAGGAGUGGUAAGAGUUUAAUGUACCAAUAGUUCCAGUAAAUCAUUCUGUGGACUGUGUCCCAGUCUUGAGGUGGAGAUGGCCCUGACUAUCAAGUGCUUUAACUUUCCUUCCUAGAUUUCUUAUAUGUAUCAUUCCACAAAGAUUUACUAUAUAUCUCAUUCUCAAGGAGUUUUUAUUGAUAUCACCCUCUUGUAGUGCUUCAGUUUUAUUUCCAUCUAGAUACAGAAAUUGCUCCACACUUCUUUAAUAGUUACAUUAUCUGGUUAUUUGUGAACUAUAGGACUGUCUACCACUAUCCAAAUAUAUAUAAUUGAAUUAGCUUUUUGAGAAAUUGGCUAAUUGUUUCCAUAGAACAAGCAUUACUUUUUACAGUCAAAUAUAGUAUGAAUAUAAAUUGUUCAAAUAUCAGUGACUAACUCAAUCACCAGUUCACAUUCUGGAAAAAAUAUUAUAAAGUUUAUAUAUAUACUUAUUUUUUAGCCAGUUCUUGUAGACCAGAUAUCACAUUACUUUGUUAGUCACUACCUGGCCAGAGUAUAAUUUUUUUGAUUUUUUAUCACUUUGCAUGAACAGAUUCCUUUGGUCCCUUUGAGAUAUAUUAGAGGAGAUUAGAACUGUGCGUGAUAGUUAUACAUACUAUUAGGCGUGAAUCACUGAAGGGUACUGUUAGUUCUUCUGUUAAAAUAUUCACAGCUUGAAUGGAAAUACAGUUUGCAUGAAGACGCAGCUCACCCACCUCAGUCCACUCUUUGCUGUAUACUUUUGUGAUUUCUCAUUAGCUGACGUCUGCCUUCUGCCACAAACGGACUUACAUUCCUCCCAUCUGUUGUGAACCUAAUUUAAUCAUUAGUCACUAAUAUGAACGCAACAACAAAUACUUUCAUGCAUGAAGGGUCUGCCCUUUCCCCCAUUGUCAGAAUUUUUGUGAGGUAAUGUUUUCCAGUAAAAUUUUCAUAACAGAUUAGUUCAAAAGAUCUAUUUCUGUCUACAUCAGGUUUUUAUUAAUGUUAAGUUCUAGAUCCAGUAAGAUCAAUCAGUAAUUCAAAUGAAACUGUGUUUUUGUACAGAUUUAUCUGAUUUUUUAAAUCUGAAUGUUUUCAGAAUAGAACAUUUCUUCAGAGUAUUUCUACAGCUGUAAUUAAGUUAGAGAUUUUACAGUUACUCAGUAUAGAUAUAUUGCAUGCACCAUAGCUCAUCAGUUAUUAGAUGUAUCUGAACUAGAAAAGCAAAUAGAAAUGAGACAUCAUUUAAAAUAAUUAUUAUUACUAAACUAAAAGGAAAUUAAUUAAAAACCAACAAUGAAGACAUAAUGGAAAAACAAAACAGAACAUUUAAACAAGAUUUAAAAGUAUAUGAAGAACUCAAGAAUCAAUAUAUUUAGUGAAAAAAGAAGUAAUCUCAUUUAAUUCUAAUCUCUGUUAAGGGAUUACAACUCCUAAGAAUCAAGGAGAAGAAUUUGAGCUGUGCAGAAAGAAUCCUUACAGUUCAUUUGUAGUCUAGAAAAUUUACAUGAUAAUGGUAUUAAAAAAUCUUUUUUCUGUGUAAUACCAGAAAUUUUGAAAUUAUCCAUGAAAAUAUUAAAAACAUUUUUAAAUUGUCCUUUUUUUUUUUUUUUUUGUGAACACCUCAUGCUGGUUGCCUGGCUGAGGUUUUGUUAGUGGAAUGGUGGCUGUGGUGGUGUCAUCUCACAGAAGAUGCCAGGAGCUGUCCCUGUGUCACACACAGCCAGUGUCAGCUGGCUCCAAGAUGGACCCACUGCUGUUCAAAGCUGAGCCCAUCAGUGAUGUUGGUGGCACCUCUAUGCUAACAUAUUCAAGAAAAGGUAAGAAAGAAAGAUUAACAAAGAGUGAAAAAAGCUUCACAGCAGCUGUGGUAGGAGUGAGAAUGUAUGAGAGAAACAAUUCUGCAGACACCAAGGUCAGUGAAGAAGGAGAGGGAGGAGGUGCCUCGGGUGCUGGGGAAGAGAUUCCCCUGCAGCCCUCAGAGAAGACCAUGGUGAAGCAGCUUUGUCCCCUGCAGCCCAGGGAGGACCAUGUCAGAGCAGAUAUCCACACUGCAUCCCAUGGAGGACCCUAUGUUGGAGCAAGUGAAUGUGCUCAGAGGGAAGCUGAGCCCAUGAAGAGCCUGCACUAGAUCAAGCUCCUGGAAGAAACUUCAGUCCCUGGAGAGGAGCUGGUGUCACAGCAGGUUUUCUGGCAGGACCUGUGGCCCAUGGAGGACCCAUGCUGGAACAGUCUGUUCCUGAAGGACUGUAUCCCAUGGAAAGGACCCACGCUGGAGAAGUUCAUAAAGAACUGUAGCCCAUGAGAAGGACCCAUGUUGGAGUAGGCAAAAGAGCAUGAGGAGGAAAGAGUGUCAGGGAUGAAACACUAUUGACUGAUCGCAAACCCCACUCCCCAUCCCCCUGCGCUGCUUGGAGUGGGAAGGUUAGAAAGAUAGGAGGGAAGUUGAGCCUGGGAAGAAGGGAGGGGUGGGGAAAAGGUGCUUUUAAUUUUGUUCUUAUUUAUUCACUACCCAGAUCUUUUUUCAAUAGGCAAUAAAUUAUAUUAAUUUCCUUAAGUCUGUUUUGCCAGUGAUAGUAAUUGCUAAAUGAUUUACCUGUCCUUAUGCCGACCCAUGAGCUUUUCCAUCAUAUUUUUAUCUCCUGUCCUGUUGAGGAGAGGGACUGAUAGAGCUUCUUGGUGGGCAUCUGGUAGCACCAAGGUGAACCUAACACAUGAUGUACAAACAGUAUUUUCUGAAAAUAAGUUGCAUAGUUGAUUGGAGUGUUGUGCUUAAUUUCACAGAAUACAUCCUUGUUUCUCUUUGCUAUGUCCUUCAAUCUUAUUUCCUCAAACCAUUCUUAAUAUACAGCAGGUCUACUGUGACACCCGUUGUUGAUGAGACUGUCUGACAUUGUCUUUUAGACCCUGCACUUGACCAAACUUCAUUCAGUGUGGGAUGUCCUGUGUUAGCUCUCUUUACAGAAGCACUCUUUGCUUUAUGGAAAAUUUCACCUAACAUGGUCCAAACUUUUUCCAGGCAAAAGUAUUGUCUUGGCCUCAUUCAACAUUCUGGCAGCCUUUCCUCUGCAAUGCCCAUAAUCCUGUGCUUUGCGGUCCCUGAGCUGCGUCAGAUGUCAGCACUAGCAAUGGUGACAUGUUGGAAAUAAACUGAAAGAAGGAGGUAGGAGAACUCAGUAUAAAUAUUAAAAAUGGAGAUUGGAGAAUAUGACUGGAUAUCAGUGGUUGAGGGAAAAGAGAAGCAGAUCAGAUGGAGAGACAGGACUAGUGCAAGGAUAACGAUAGGAAGUAGCAAGACAGGACUAGGAAUGAAGCCUGUUUCGGAGGAGUCUUCUAAAGGCUAAGCAAGAUGCCUGUGGCUGAAGGUUGUUAUGGGAGGAAAACAAUGCAUCUCAUUAUUUUAGUUUGGAUGUUUGCACUGGCAACCAAUUUAGCACUGGAUCAAGAGUGUGCUUGGGAAAGAAAUUUCCUGGUGGGCCCUGCUACUGUGUUCUGGUUGCCAUGUUACCACAUACAUCAUAGAUUCCUUUCAGAUUAAUCUGGAAAAUGAAUUACAGAUCUUCAGUAACUGUACUUCUGCCUAUGCACUGCUAAGACUUUUGACCCAGUAGGUUAUAUGUGGCCUUCAAGCCUGAGGAGCAAGGUGGUUUGCAUUCACGUUCUUAGAUUUGGCCUCUAGACUGUGUGCUUGCCGUACAUAACACUUGGCCUGGAUCUUCUCUGGAUUCUAGGUGACUUUAAGUCCUAGUAAUUACUUUUGUGUGAGAGCAUAAUAUAAUGUGAGGGUUUGCCAGAAUGAUUAAUUUGUAUCAUCCCUGUGAGAAUGUGGGAUGCAUACUCUAAGACAUGGCACUGAGAGGCAUUUGA